CCUACGGGAGGCAGCAGUGGGGAAUAUUGGACAAUGGGCGAAAGCCUGAUCCAGCCAUGCCGCGUGUGUGAAGAAGGCCUUCGGGUUGUAAAGCACUUUCAGUGGGGAAGAAAGCCUUGGGGCUAAUACCCUCGAGGAAGGACAUCACCCACAGAAGAAGCACCGGCUAACUCCGUGCCAGCAGCCGCGGUAAUACGGAGGGUGCGAGCGUUAAUCGGAAUUACUGGGCGUAAAGCGCGCGUAGGCGGUCUGAUAAGCCGGUUGUGAAAGCCCCGGGCUCAACCUGGGAACGGCAUCCGGAACUGUCAGGCUAGAGUGCAGGAGAGGAAGGUAGAAUUCCCGGUGUAGCGGUGAAAUGCGUAGAGAUCGGGAGGAAUACCAGCGGCGAAGGCGGCCUUCUGGACUGACACUGACGCUGAGGUGCGAAAGCGUGGGUAGCAAACAGGAUUAGAUACCCUAGUAGUC
rnacentral:rRNA from 1 species